UACGUAGGGCGCAAGCGUUGUCCGGAAUUAUUGGGCGUAAAGAGCUCGUAGGCGGUUUGUCGCGUCUGCUGUGAAAACUCAGGGCUUAACUCUGAGCUUGCAGUGGGUACGGGCAGACUAGAGUGCGGUAGGGGAGACUGGAAUUCCUGGUGUAGCGGUGAAAUGCGCAGAUAUCAGGAGGAACACCGGUGGCGAAGGCGGGUCUCUGGGCCGUAACUGACGCUGAGGAGCGAAAGCAUGGGGAGCGAACAGG
rnacentral:rRNA from 1 species